rnacentral:rRNA from 1 species
GUUACUGCUAUCGGAGUUCGAUUAAGCCAUGCGAGUCUAAAGGUUUCUUCGGAAACCUUGGCGGACUGCUCAGUAACACGUGGAUAACCUACCCUUGGGACUGGAAUAACCCCGGGAAACUGGGGAUAAUACCGGAUAGAUCAGGGAUGCUGGAAUGCACCUUGAUCCAAAGCUCCGGCGCCCAAGGAUGGGUCUGCGACCUAUCAGGUUGUAGUGGGCGUAACGUACCUACUAGCCGACGACGGGUACGGGUUGUGAGAGCAAGAGCCCGGAGAUGGAUUCUGAGACACGAAUCCAGGCCCUACGGGGUGCAGCAGGCGCGAAACCUUUACAAUGUGCGAAAGCAUGAUAAGGGAACUCCGAGUGCCAGUAUCUAAUGCUGGCUGUCCUUGUGCCUAAAACGCACAAGAUAGCAAGGGCCGGGUAAGACCGGUGCCAGCCGCCGCGGUAACACCGGCGGCCCGAGUGGUAGCCGCUAUUAUUGGGUCUAAAGGGUCCGUAGCCGGUUCGAUAAGUCCUCUGGGAAAUCUGGUUGCUUAACAAUCAGACUGCCAAGGGAUACUGUCGAACUUGAGACCGGGAGAGGUAAGAGGUACUUCAGGGGUAGGAGUGAAAUCUUGUAAUCCCUGGGGGACCAUCUGUGGCGAAGGCGUCUUACCAGAACGGGUCUGACGGUGAGGGACGAAAGCUGGGGGCGCAAACCGGAUUAGAUACCCGGGUAGUCCCAGCCGUAAACGAUGCUCGCUAUGUGUCAGGUACGGUGUCACCGUAUCUGGUGCCGUA